rnacentral:piRNA from 1 species
UCAGCACAGAUCUUGGGCCAAGAAGGCAG